GAGCUCUCCAGUCUUCACUGGCCGACUCAGUGUGUAUUGAGAUGAUAAGUGAAGUAUUCGGUCUCAUCGAAGAAUCUGUUUCGUCCUCUCUUUCAGAUCUGAAACCUUAAGGUGUUUUAUUGUUUUCAAUUGGAAGAUCUCAAUGCAAACUGUAAGCAAAUUGCAAGACAACGAAGGGAUAGCAAUGAAAAGAUGUUUCGAUGGCUAUUAUCUAAAUUUUAAGCCUUCUUAUCAACUUGACAACGAAGUCCAGAUUGAAGCUAGCAUAACUGUAGUCUACGGGAUGGGUGGUGUAGGAAAGAUGUUAGGAGUGUGAUUUAUAAUUUUACAAGUCUACGACUUGAUAAAUUCCAAGUGGUAGUUAAAAUUAGCAUGAGUUAAGUUUAACUUUACAACAAUCAAAUAUUAUAAGAUGACAACCAUCUUGAUCAAAGAAUGAUGCAAAUUAAAUGUAUCAAAAAUUCAAGUUGAGAAGUGGCUAUGAUAGGCACCAAAUAUUGGCAAGUUGAUUCAAGUUGGUAAGUUGUCAAUUUGUGUACAUAGAAAAAUUAUC